UAGGACACUCUACCAGCAAACUCCCAGGAGACAGCUGCAAGUGCCUGAAGACCUGAUGUGAUCUGGGACUAUUUCAGCUUUGUGGACUGAGGUCUUCAUGGAGACAGAAUAUAUGUAUGCAGCUGGCAGAGCAAGUGUCUUAGUGAAAGGCCCAGGACCAUGUCUGGGAGAGAUGCUCUGUCAUCAGUGCAUGUGCAAUAAGUGCCAGAUCAACCCUGGCAAGAUCAACCUCUCUGUUCUGCAAAUAGAGAGCACAGCACCAGGUGCCUGUGUCCGGCUCUGGAGAGCGUGGCAUGGGGUGGUGAGGCAGA